rnacentral:rRNA from 1 species
GAUGAACGCUGGCGGCGUGCCUAAUACAUGCAAGUCGAGCGAACGGACGAGAAGCUUGCUUUUCUGAUGUUAGCGGCGGACGGGUGUGUAACACGUGGAUAACCUACCUAUAAGACUGGGAUAACUUCGGGAAACCGGAGCUAAUACCGGAUAAUAUUUUGAACCGCAUGGUUCAAAAGUGAAAGACGGUCUUGCUGUCACUUAUAGAUGGAUCCGCGCUGCAUUAGCUAGUUGGUAAGGUAACGGCUUACCAAGGCAACGAUGCAUAGCCGACCUGAGAGGGUGAUCGGCCACACUGGAACUGAGACAUGGUCCAGACUCCUACGGGAGGCAGCAGUAGGGAAUCUUCCGCAAUGGGCGAAAGCCUGACGGAGCAACGCCGCGUGAGUGAUGAAGGUCUUCGGAUCGUAAAACUCUGUUAUUAGGGAAGAACAUAUGUGUAAGUAACUGUGCACAUCUUGACGGUACCUAAUCAGAAAGCCACGGCUAACUACGUG